rnacentral:rRNA from 1 species
AUUGAACGCUGGCGGCAGGCCUAACACAUGCAAGUCGAACGAGUGGCGGACGGGUGAGUAAUGUCUGGGAAACUGCCUGAUGGAGGGGGAUAACUACUGGAAACGGUAGCUAAUACCGCACACCAUCAGAUGUGCCCAGAUGGGAUUAGCUAGUUGGUGGGGUAACGGCUCACCAAGGCGACGAUCCCUAGCUGGUCUGAGAGGAUGACCAGCAACACUGGAACAGAGACACGGUCCAGACGCCUACGGGAGGCAGCAGUGGGGAUUAUUGCACAAUGGGCGAUAUCCUGCAGCAGCCAUGCAGCGUGAAUGAAGAAGGCCUUCGGGUUGGAAAGUACUUUCAGUGGGGAGGCGUUACCCGCAGAAGAAGCACCGGCUAACUCCGUGCCAGCAGCCGCGGUAAUUC